AAUAGAUACCCGGGUAGUCCACGCCGUAAACGGUGGGCACUAGGUGUGGGCGACAUUCCACGUCGUCCGUGCCGCAGCUAACGCAUUAAGUGCCCCGCCUGGGGAGUACGGCCGCAAGGCUAAAACUCAAAGGAAUUGACGGGGGCCCGCACAAGCGGCGGAGCAUGUGGCUUAAUUCGACGCAACGCGAAGAACCUUACCAAGGCUUGACAUACACCGGAAAACCCUGGAGACAGGGUCCCCCUUGUGGUCGGUGUACAGGUGGUGCAUGGCAGUCGUCAGCUCGUGUCGUGAGAUGUUGGGUUAAGUCCCGCAACGAGCGCAACCCUUGUCCCGUGUUGCCAGCAGGCCCUUGUGGUGCUGGGGACUCACGGGAGACCGCCGGGGUCAACUCGGAGGAAGGUGGGGACGACGUCAAGUCAUCAUGCCCCUUAUGUCUUGGGCUGCACACGUGCUACAAUGGCCGGUACAAUGAGCUGCGAUACCGCGAGGUGGAGCGAAUCUCAAAAACGCCGGUCUCAGUUCGGAUUGGGGUCUGCAACUCGACCCC
rnacentral:rRNA from 1 species